UACAGAGGGGGCAAGCGUUGUUCGGAAUUACUGGGCGUAAAGGGCGCGUAGGUGGCCUUCUAAGUUGAACGUGAAAUCCCUGGGCUCAACCCAGGAACUGCGUCCAAGACUGGGAGGCUUGAAUCCGGGAGAGGGAUGCGGAAUUCCUGGUGUAGCGGUGAAAUGCGCAGAUAUCAGGAGGAACACCGAUUGCGAAGGCAGCUCGCUGGGACGUCACUGACGCUGAGACGCGAAAGCGUGGGGAGCAAACAGG
rnacentral:rRNA from 1 species